CAGUUAUACCUGCGUGUCUUUUCUUUUUAAUGCUCCAUCUGAACAAGUGAAAUGAGGCUGAAGAUUUCACUUUUAAAGGAACCAAAACAUAAAGAAUUGGUUAGCUGUGUGGGAUGGACUACAGCUGACGAGCUAUAUUCCUGCAGCGAUGAUCACCAGAUUAUGAAAUGGAACCUUUUAACUAGUGAGACUACUCGAGUAGUGAAACUUCCAGACGAUAUUUAUCCCAUAGAUCUUCACUGGUUUCCCAGAAGUACAGGUGGAAAGAAGCAGUCCCAUGCCGAGAGCUUUGUUCUGACAAGUUCUGAUGUUGGUGAAGAUGGCCAAGUGAAGAUCUGGUCUAAAAGUGGAAUGCUGAGAUCCACUUUAGCUCAGCAAG